UCUCCGUAGGUGAACCUGCGGAGGGAUCAUUACAGAGUUCAUGCUCUACCGGGUAGAUCUCCCACCCUAUGUUAUUAUUACUUUGUGGCUUUGGCGGGCCGUUAGGCUCCGGCCCGACUACCGGCCCCGGCUGGUAAGCGCCCGCCAGAGGACCCAAAACCCUGAAUAUUAGUCUCGUCUGAGUACUAUAUAAUAGUUAAAACUUUCAACAACGGAUCUCUUGGUUCUG
rnacentral:misc_RNA from 1 species